AUUUUGCCGUCCUCAGUUGUCGCCACAUGUGAGUGCUUGCUGCAUUGACGCCGUCCGAUGUAGUUGUUUAAUCGUGUGUACGCUGUGCCGAGAGAAAUUGUGGUGCAUUUUGUAUGCAUUGAGAAUCACAAAACCCCUGGGACCGCGUAAUGUAGCCCGCAGUAUCCUUCGUGUGGUGCGCCGAUGUCGAAGAUAUGACUCUUCGCGCUUCCUUUGUUCCGGGCUCAUGAACAGGAUCUCCUCUUCUGGCACUGUCGCAUCGUAUCGCGCUGUACGGAAGAAUUUGGUGAAAGUUGUGCUCUUACGUCCUGUAGUUGAUCCGCAAUUGAACAGUGUGUGCGCCGGAAGGACCGUUGGUGCAGUCGAUGCCGCGGCACCUGUGACGCUAAAAGGAGCGUUUUCCGAGUACGCCUAGAAAGGGAUGGCAAGAUUUUGUGAACCAGAGGCACCUCCACAUAUGCACCUGCGGCUCUUCUGCAGCCUCAACAGCACGGAAAAGUACCUGAUGUGCAUGCUGUGACAAGCUGCUGUAGGUAUGGCUGGACCUGGAGAAGUGUAAGCAGACCAUGCUAUGUUGCUGAUCUGCGCUGAUCUCCACAUCCAAGUUGGUCCUGCGACAGUUGGGCACCAUUGUGCCUUGCUUCAUUGACAAGGUGAUAUAAUAUGGUGCCCUGCUCGCUCUCACCCAAGCAACCCACUCCAGCGGUCUUCUCUCGGCAGACUGGAUGCAUCGAAAUACCGUUAGAAGGUCCAAUAAACAGUGCUUGGGACAUUUA
rnacentral:lncRNA from 1 species